UUAAUUGAAACCAAAAAGAGGUAAAUCACUGUUAAUGAUUCAAAUGAAUAUUUAUUCCGAUUAAA
rnacentral:tRNA from 1 species